GGAUGUGAUCAUACCAGCACUAAAGCACCGGAUCCCAUCAAAACUCCGAAGUUAAGCGUGCUUGGGCGAGAGUAGUACUAGGAUGGGUGACCUCCUGGGAAGUCCUCGUGUUGCAUUCC
rnacentral:rRNA from 1 species